rnacentral:rRNA from 1 species
UCCGGUUGAUCCUGCCRGAGGUUACUGCUAUCGAGGUUCGACUAAGCCAUGCGAGUCGAAUGUAGCAAUACAUGGCGUACUGCUCAGUAACACGUGGACAACCUACCCUUAGGUCGGGGAUAAACCCGGGAAACUGGGUAUAAUACCCGAUAGAUCUCGACUGCUGGAAUGCAUCGAGAUCGAAAGCUCCGGCGCCUAAGGAUGGGUCUGCGGCCUAUCAGGUAGUAGUGGGUGUAGCGUACCUACUAGCCUACGACGGGUACGGGUUGUGAGAGCAAGAGCCCGGAGAUGGAUUCUGAGACACGAAUCCAGGCCCUACGGGGUGCAGCAGGCGCGAAAACUUUACAAUGCUGGAAACAGCGAUAAGGGGACCUCGAGUGCCAGGUUACAAAUCUGGCUGUCGUGAUGCCUAAAAAGCAUUGCAUAGCAAGGGCCGGGCAAGACCGGUGCCAGCCGCCGCGGUAACACCGGCGGCUCGAGUGGUAACCGUUAUUAUUGGGUCUAAAGGGUCUGCAGCCGGCCGGAUAAGUCUCUUGGGAAAUCCAGCAGCUCAACUGUUGGGCUUUCAGGAGAUACUGUCUGGCUCGAGGCCGGGAGAGGUGAGAGGUACUUCAGGGGUAGGGGUGAAAUCUUGUAAUCCUUGAAGGACCACCAGUGGCGAAGGCGUCUCACCAGAACGGACCUGACGGCAAGGGACGAAAGCUAGGGGCACGAACCGGAUUAGAUACCCGGGUAGUCCUAGCCGUAAACGAUACUCGCUAGGUGUCGGCCACGGUGCGACCGUUGUCGGUGCCGUAGGGAAGCCGUGAAGCGAGCCACCUGGGAAGUACGGCCGCAAGGCUGAAACUUAAAGGAAUUGGCGGGGGAGCACCACAACGGGUGGAGCUUGCGGUUUAAUUGGABUCAACGCCGGRA